GGGGAAAAAUUAAUAAGAUAAAAUAAAAAAAAAAAUUAAAAAUAUUAUAAUGGGGGUUAAAGUAUUUUUAAGAAAAAAUUUUAUUAUUUAUAGGGGAAUAGUAUUGUGAAAGAAUUUUGAAAAAUUUUGAAAAAGAAUUAUUUUAAAAGUAAAUUUAAUUUAUUGUAUCUUGUGUAUCAGAGUUUAUUAAAUAUUAUAUUUAUGAAAAUAUAUCUCGAAUUUAAAAGAGAUAAUUAAUUAAUAAAGUUAAUGUUAUAUAAUUAUUUUAAAUAAUUAAUUUGAAAUGAAAUGUUAAUCGUUUUUAAAUAUAUCUAGUUUUUUUAGAAAAAAAUUUAAUUUUAAAUUAUUUUUUUUUUAAUUAAAUUUUUAAUAAAAAAAAAUAAAUAAUUAAAUAUUUUAGGGGAUAAGCUUUAAAUUAAAUUUUUAUAUAUAAAUUAAACUUAUAAUAAGAUUUUUAGAAUUUAUAUUUUUUAUAAAUUAUAAUUUUUUAUAAAUAAUUUUAUUAAUAUUAAAAUUUAAUUAAUUAUUUUAAAUUUUUAUAAAAAAAUAUUUUUUAAUUAAAAUAAAUUAGGAAUAAUGAUAAAAUUAGUAUAUUUUUUAUAAAAAUUUAAAAUGAAUUUUAAUUAAGAAAAAGGAAUUCGGCAAAAAUUUAUAUUCACUUGUUUAUCAAAAACAUGUCUUUUUGAAAAUAAUAAAAAGUCUAAUCUGCCCACUGAAUUUAUUUAAAGGGCUGCAGUAUAUUGACUGUACAAAGGUAGCAUAAUCAAUAGUCUUUUAAUUGAAGACUUGUAUGAAUGAUUUGAUGAAAUAUGAACUGUCUCUUUUUUAAAAAUAAAAUUUAAUUUUUUAGUUAAAAAGCUAAAAUAAUUAUAAAAGACGAGAAGACCCUAUAGAGUUUUAUAGUUAUUUAAUUUAAAAAUUUUAUAUAUAAUUUAAAUUUAAAAUUAAUUAAUUAUUUUAUUGGGGUGAUAGAAAAAUUAAAAAAACUUUUUUUUAAAAUUUAACAUUAAUUUAUGAAAUUAUGAUCCAUAAUUUAUGAUUAAAAGAAUCAAUUACCUUAGGGAUAACAGCGUAAUUUUUUUUUUUAGUACAAAUAAGAAAAAGAGUUUGCGACCUCGAUGUUGGAUUAAGAUAAAAUUUAAAUGCAAAAGUUUAAAAUUUUUGAUCUGUUCGAUCAUUAAAAUCUUACAUGAUCUGAGUUCAAACCGGUGUAAGCCAGGUUGGUUUCUAUCUUUAUAUUAAUAUAAUAGUUUAGUACGAAAGGAUCAAUUAUUGUAAAUAAUUUAAUUUGAUAUAAUGAAUAUUAUUAAUUAUAAUAUAAU
rnacentral:rRNA from 1 species